CUUUGGUGAUGAUAAGAUGACGAGUCAGAAGCAGGAGGCUCUUGUUGUGGUACCUCUGCAGCGUCAUGUUCUAUGAUGCUGCGUGUGGAUCUUCAGGAACAUCCUGUCAUCCUUGAAUGAUUUAGAGGCAUUUGUCUGAGAAGG
rnacentral:snoRNA from 1 species